UCCACUUGCAGAGGUUGAAAGAUUUAUCCACUGCGCUGCCCCUGUUAUUGCUUCUUCAUAUGUGCAUAAAAAAUGUGUUUGGAACUAGUACGAGAAACCAGGGAACGACGGAUUGGAGGUCCAGGCAGAUGAUUCAUAAAACUUCAAUGGUUCAAUGCCAUCUUGUGCCCAUUUUGUUCCUUACUUUCCCGCUGUUCAAUUGUUUCGACCCCAUAACCAUGGUUCCAAGACAUUAUAUUUCACACAUUCUUCAAAAGCAGCAGAGUUGAACCAUCUUCAGGCAAGGACAGAGAAACAUGACGGAAGUGGCCUGUCCAGUCUAGAAUGUUCACCAGAUUUUGAGCUCAUAUUUGAAUUUUUUUGAAUCUGAGACGCCAUGUUAGCGAAAGCCCUUGUGCAUUAAAAUUCUGGAGCUAACCGACGUUGAAACUUCUAUCAACACAUGUUUGGUGAUCCAUCAAAGCUAGAUUGUCUGAGUUUGCACGAUUUACAUCCUGAGUCUUGGUUUUCAGUGGCCUAGUACCCUAUGUAUCGAAUUCCAGAAGGGAACUUGCGCGCAACAUUCUUAACUUACCAUUCACUUGGACAUUUUGUACGGAGACCUAUUUCAGUAGAUCUUGCCAAUAAGUACACAAGUCACCGCCCUGUGUUAGGGUUGCAAACCCACAAUGCACAUGUAAGAAAUCAAUACUCUGUCUUUCAUGCUCUAGAUUUUAGUCAGUAUCACUCUUUCUAUGUAACAGUUAGUCACUGAAAGGGUUGGAAGCCAUUAAAAGACAUCAACUAUUAAUACUGACGAGCAUAAAACCACGCUCCGUGACAGUUUGCAAGUGUCUGGAAACACUGGUGAAUGCUGGUUUGAUCCCAAAACGCCUUUCUGACAUUCUUCAAAUGAAUCUACUUCUAACAGUGCAGAAAUUCUCAAAGAAAGGCUCAGAACAUUGGAGGUUGAUGCAUUAAGUUUUGCAAGAGUUUGCGUUUGCAAGGAUCAAGUCAUGGUCUCCAACAGGCAGCCGGAUUACGAGGUCUUCAUUUCUCGAAGAACACAUCAUAAAUAGUUACAUACAACUAAUACCAUCUCUUUCCGGUUUUGUGAAUUUGAGUUUGCCUGCGUAGUGAACUGAUUUUGUGAUCUGAGUUGGCCUACAUAGCGAAAAUUGGAAAGGGAAGAAGAAUUGUAAAUGGAUAAGGAUCUGUAAAGGGUAAAAGGAGAAGGAAAUGUACUCUUCUGUUCUUCU